UACGUAGGAGGCAAGCGUUGUCCGGAAUUACUGGGCGUAAAGAGCGUGUAGGCGGUUCGGUAGGUCCGUUGUGAAAACUCGAGCUCAACCUCGAGACGCCGAUGGAAACCCCCGAACCUAGAGUCCGGAAGAGGAGAAUGGAAUUCCUGGUGUAGUGGUGAAAUGCGUAGAGAUCAGGAGGAACACCGGUGGCGAAGGCGGCCAACUGGGCCGUCACUGACGCUGAGGCGCGAAAGCUCGGGGAGCGAACGGG
rnacentral:rRNA from 1 species